rnacentral:sRNA from 1 species
UUGACAGUGCAGGCGACUGAAGUCCUCUGUAUAUCCGCAGGGCAGGCAUGGUACAGCGCUUCCUUGCACAGCCUUGCCCAUGAGCUCGUCCCUGGCCUGGAGGGACCCACUCUAGAGGUGGUAAGUAAUUCAGUCUUUCUGCUAGCUCAGUCCUGGGCCUCU